rnacentral:rRNA from 1 species
UUGAACGCUGGCGGCAUGCUUUACACAUGCAAGUCGAACGGCAGCGGGGGCUUCGGCCUGCCGGCGAGUGGCGAACGGGUGAGUACUAUAUCGGAACGUACCCUAGAGUGGGGGAUAACGCAGCGAAAGUUGCGCUAAUACCGCAUACGAUCUACGGAUGAAAGUGGGGGAUCGCAAGACCUCCUGCUCAUGGAGCGGCCGAUAUCUGAUUAGCUAGUUGGUGGGGUAAAAGCCUACCAAGGCAUCGAUCAGUAGCUGGUCUGAGAGGACGACCAGCCACACUGGAACUGAGACACGGGCCAGACUCCUACGGGAGGCAGCAGUGGGGAAUUUUGGACAAUGGGCGCAAGCCUGAUCCAGCAAUGCCGCGUGAGUGAAGAAGGCCUGCGGGUUGUAAAGCUCUUUUGUCAGGGAAGAAACGGUGAGGGCUAAUAUCCGUUGCUAAUGACGGUACCUGAAGAAUAAGCACCGGCUAACUACGU